rnacentral:rRNA from 1 species
GACGUAGGGCGCGAGCGUUGUCCGGAAUUAUUGGGCGUAAAGAGCUUGUAGGCGGUCUGUCGCGUCUGCUGUGAAAAUCCGGGGCUCAACCCCGGACUUGCAGUGGGUACGGGCAGACUAGAGUGUGGUAGGGGAGACUGGAAUUCCUGGUGUAGCGGUGAAAUGCGCAGAUAUCAGGAGGAACACCGAUGGCGAAGGCAGGUCUCUGGGCCACUACUGACGCUGAGGUGCGAAAGCGUGGGGAGCAAACAGG